ACCGCGACAGCUCAGCUGGUAGAGCAUCUGCCCGGUAUGCAGAAGGUCGCCGGUUUGACUCCGGCUCGCGGCG
rnacentral:tRNA from 1 species